rnacentral:tmRNA from 1 species
GGGGGCGAUCCAGAUUCGACGUGGGAUCGACGUCUCGAUGUAGCGAGCCGAGGACUCCGGGUUGGCCUCGUAAUAAGAAUCCCGGAACAAAACCAAGUGCGGACUCCAACCAUGAGUUCGCCCUCGCCGCUUAACAGCGUGUGAGGGAGUCGCUCCGGACAGCCCGCGAUCCGGGUAGCGGCUUCAAACAGCGGGCUCACCUCCGAGGCAAAUCCCUCGGCUUCGGGGGGACAUCAACAGGAGGGAGUGGCACCGGCAACGUGUCCCGCGGAUCGACCUAGCCGGAUAGCCGAGAUCAGACUCUGUCGGGAACGCUCGUAGCAAGCAUCGGGGUGCAGUUCCGCGGACGCCGGGGCAGAACCGGCCGCCUCCACUG